rnacentral:rRNA from 1 species
AUUGAACGCUGGCGGCAGGCCUAACACAUGCAAGUCGAACGGAGUGGCGGACGGGUGAGUAAUGUCUGGGAAUCUGCCUGGUAGUGGGGGAUAACGUCCGGAAACGGGCGCUAAUACCGCAUACUAUCAGAUGAGCCUAGGUCGGAUUAGCUAGUUGGUGGGGUAAAGGCCUACCAAGGCGACGAUCCGUAACUGGUCUGAGAGGAUGAUCAGGCACACUGGAACUGAGACACGGUCCAGACGCCUACGGGAGGCAGCAGUGGGGAAUAUUUGGCAAUGGGGGAAAGCCUGAGCCAGCCAUGGCGCGGGGGUGAAGAAGGUUUUCGGAUUGGAAAGCACUUUAAGUUGGGAGGCGUUACCAACAGAAUAAGCACCGGCUAACUUCGUGCCAGCAGCCGCGGUAAUAC